rnacentral:rRNA from 1 species
UACGUAGGGGGCAAGCGUUGUCCGGAUUUAUUGGGCGUAAAGAGCGUGUAGGCGGCCUUACAGGUCAGCUGUGAAAACUCGAGGCUCAACCUCGAGACGUCGGUUGAAACCGUAUGGCUAGAGUCCGGAAGAGGAGAGUGGAAUUCCCGGUGUAGCGGUGAAAUGCGCAGAUAUCAGGAGGAACACCAAUUGCGAAGGCAGCUCGCUGGGACGUUACUGACGCUGAGACGCGAAAGCGUGGGGAGCAAACAGG